rnacentral:rRNA from 1 species
GAUGAACGCUGGCGGCGUGCCUAACACAUGCAAGUCGAACGAAGCACCUUACCUGAUUCUUCGGAUGAAAGUUUGGUGACUGAGUGGCGGACGGGUGAGUAACGCGUGGGUAACCUGCCCUGUACAGGGGGAUAACAGCUGGAAACGGCUGCUAAUACCGCAUAAGCGCACGAGGAGACAUCUCCUUGUGUGAAAAACUCCGGUGGUACAGGAUGGGCCCGCGUCUGAUUAGCUGGUUGGCAGGGUAACGGCCUGCCAAGGCAACGAUCAGUAGCCGGUCUGAGAGGAUGAACGGCCACAUUGGAACUGAGACACGGUCCAAACUCCUACGGGAGGCAGCAGUGGGGAAUAUUGCACAAUGGGGGAAACCCUGAUGCAGCAACGCCGCGUGAGUGAAGAAGUAUUUCGGUAUGUAAAGCUCUAUCAGCAGGGAAGAUAAUGACGGUACCUGACUAAGAAGCUCCGGCUAAAUACGUG